rnacentral:rRNA from 1 species
GAUGUACGCUGGCGGCAUGCCUAAUACAUGCAAGUCGAACGAGAGGAAGGGAAGCUUGCUUUUCUGAAUCUAGUGGCGAACGGGUGAGUAACACGUAGGUAACCUGCCCAUGUGCCCGGGAUAACUUCUGGAAACGGAUGCUAAAACCGGAUAGGUAGCAGACAAGCAUUUGACUGCUAUUAAAGUGGCUAAGGCCAUGAACAUGGAUGGACCUGCGGUGCAUUAGCUAGUUGGUGAGGUAACGGCCCACCAAGGCGACGAUGCAUAGCCGGCCUGAGAGGGCGGACGGCCACAUUGGGACUGAGACACGGCCCAAACUCCUACGGGAGGCAGCAGUAGGGAAUUUUCGUCAAUGGGGGGAACCCUGAACGAGCAAUGCCGCGUGAGUGAGGAAGGUCUUCGGAUCGUAAAGCUCUGUUGUAGGAGAAAAACGACAUUCAUAGGGAAUGAUGAGUGAGUGAUGGUAUCUUACCAGAAAGUCACGGCUAACUACGUGCCAGCCGCCGCGGUAA